UUUGCUAGUUGUUUCACUUGUUUUUUUUUUUUACUCUGGUGGCCAUUCACAUUGUACUGUUUCCUCGUGUAUCACUGUUCCUUGUGAUUUUGACAGUGAGCUCUCAUUCUUUGGAAUGUCAUUUGUAGUAUUCCCUUGAAACUUCACUUGAUAGUGGAUAGCAUUUUUGUUUCUUACAAGUUCCUGAGGAAACUAAAACCUAAAACAUCUUUGAACUAAUGAAUUACUAGUAGCCUUUUUGAACUACCUAGAUGAUAUGACUUUAGUUUGCAAAUGCUCUUGUACUGAUUUGUUAAAAUUAUUGGGAAAGCCUCUUUUCCCCCAAACCCAUUGUCAAGUUUUAAGACAGUUAAUUUUUCUAUUUUCUUCCAGUUAGCCCUUUAAUUGGAGAUUUAGCCCAUCGAGAUUCUAUGCUGGGAGAAUUACCUAUUAAACCUCUUACCUUGAGUAGUUUUGCCUCCUGCCAGCAUAUGUCUUCAACACCAACAGCCUGUGAAAAUUGAAUUUCAAGUUCACUUGAAUUUGGCAAAUAUUUCUUAAGUUUACCUUGCAUUUGAAUCCAUGAGAACCCCUCAAGAAUAUGUUCUACACAGAGUCUGUGGCCCCCGACAACACCACAUAGUGAGUUUUCCUUCUGGAAAGGUGAUGAUAUAAAAAUUCAGUUUCUUAUAACCUCUCUCAGAAGACAAAGAACAUAUCAUGUCAUCAAACUCCGUGAUAAAUCUUUCCUUUUGUUUGUUGUUUGUUUAUUUAUCUUUGAAAUUACAUUUGCUUGUAAUUUAUGUUUCUAUAAAAUAAUAGAGACAUACAAGCAUCUCAGUGUCCCAAAUGAGGUAAGAAAUUUGUGUUUGGAGCUCUUGUAUAAAUUAGAUAAUGAAUCAACCUAUAUUGUUAUUUAAAGGAUCUAUAUUCUAAUGCAGUCAAGAGAGAAUGUCACAAAGAGCCCUCAAACUGGCCAUUUAUUUGUUCCCUGACUCUUUCACUACCUCUUUCAUGUUGGUCCUAUGGUACAGACAGGAAGAUGUCAAUUUUUAGAUAUAAGUAAUUCUGAUAUUGCUU